rnacentral:rRNA from 1 species
UACGGGGGGAGCAAGCGUUGUUCGGAUUUACUGGGCGUAAAGGGCGCGUAGGCGGUCAGCACAAGUCAGUUGUGAAAUCUCCGGGCUUAACUCGGAAAGGUCAACUGAUACUGUGCGACUAGAGUGCGGAAGGGGCAACUGGAAUUCUCGGUGUAGCGGUGAAAUGCGUAGAUAUCGAGAGGAACACCUGCGGCGAAGGCGGGUUGCUGGGCCGACACUGACGCUGAUGCGCGAAAGCCAGGGGAGAACGGG